AGCGGCGGUAAUACGGAGGGUGCGAGCGUUAAUCGGAAUUACUGGGCGUAAAGCGCACGCAGGCGGUCUGUUAAGCUAGAUGUGAAAGCCCCGCGCUCAACGUGGGAGGGUCAUUUAGAACUGGCAGACUAGAGUCUUGGAGAGGGGAGUGGAAUUCCAGGUGUAGCGGUGAAAUGCGUAGAGAUCUGGAGGAACAUCAAUGGCGAAGGCAACUCCCUGGCCAAAAGACUGACGCUCAUGUGCGAAAGUGUGGGUAGCGAACAGGAUUAGAUACCCUGGUAGUCCACACCGUAAACGCUGUCUACUAGCUGUUUGUGGAUUUAAUCCGUGAGUAGCGAAGCUAACGCGAUAAGUAGACCACCUGGGGAGUACGGCCGCAAGGUUAAAAACUCAAAAUGAAUUGACGGGGGCCCGCACAAGCGGUGGAGCAUGUGGUUUAAUUCGAUGCAACGCGAAGAACCUUACCUACUCUUGACAUACUAG
rnacentral:rRNA from 1 species